rnacentral:rRNA from 1 species
CCUACGGGCGGCUGCAGUGGGGAAUAUUGGACAAUGGGGGGAACCCUGAUCCAGCCAUGCCGCGUGUGUGAAGAAGGCCCUCGGGUUGUAAAGCACUUUCAGUGAGGAAGAACGCCUGGUGGUUAAUACCCAUCAGGAAAGACAUCACUCACAGAAGAAGCACCGGCUAACUCCGUGCCAGCAGCCGCGGUAAUACGGAGGGUGCGAGCGUUAAUCGGAAUUACUGGGCGUAAAGCGCGCGUAGGUGGCUUGAUAAGCCGGUUGUGAAAGCCCCGGGCUCAACCUGGGAACGGCAUCCGGAACUGUCAAGCUAGAGUGCAGGAGAGGAAGGUAAAAUUCCCGGUGUAGCGGUGAAAUGCGUAGAGAUCGGGAGGAAUACCAGUGGCGAAGGCGGCCUUCUGGACUGACACUGACACUGAGGUGCGAAAGCGUGGGUAGCAAACAGGAUUAGAUACCCCGGUAGUC